GACGAACGCUGGCGGCGUGCUUAACACAUGCAAGUCGAACGCUGAAGCCCUGGCUUUUGGUGGGUUGGGUGAGUGGCGAACGGGUGAGUAACACGUGAGUAACCUGCCACUUUUUUUGGGAUAACGCCGGGAAACGGGUGCUAAUACUGGAUAUUCACUGAUAUUGGCGUGGGGGUGGGUGGCUGGGUUUGUUCUGGUGGGGGAUGGGCGCGUGGCCUAUCAGCUUGUUGGUGGGGUGAGGGCCUCCCAAGGCUUUGUCGGGUCGCUGUCCUGGGAGGGUGACCGGUCACAUUGGGCCUGGUACACGGUCCUGAGUCAUACGGGAGGCAGCAGUGGUGGAUAUUGCACGAUGGGCGAAAGCCUGAUGCAGGGACGCCGCGUGAAGGAUGGAGGCUUGUGGGUUGGUAACCUCUGUCGCUCAUGGUCAAGCCGCAACUGUGGGUUGUGGUGACGGUAGUGGGUAAAGAAGCGCCGGCUAACUACGUG
rnacentral:rRNA from 1 species